rnacentral:rRNA from 1 species
AGAGUUUGAUCCUGGCUCAGAGUGAACGCUGGCGGCGUGCCUAACACAUGCAAGUCGAACGAUGAUGGAGAGCUUGCUCUCCUGAUUAGUGGCGCACGGGUGAGUAUACCAUAGAUAAUGUACCCCUUAGUUCGGGAUAGCCACUGGAAACGGUGAUUAAUACCGGAUACUCCUUCUCAUUAUAAGAUGAGUCGGGAAAGUUUUUUCGCUAAGGGAUCAGUCUAUGUCCUAUCAGCUAGUUGGUGAGGUAAUGGCUCACCAAGGCUAUGACGGGUAUCUGGUUUGAGAGGAUGAUCAGACACACUGGAACUGAGACACGGUCCAGACUCCUACGGGAGGCAGCAGUGAGGAAUAUUGCACAAUGGAGGAAACUCUGAUGCAGCAACGCCGCGUGGAGGAUGACGCAUUUCGGUGUGUAAACUCCUUUUAAGAGGGAAGAUAAUGACGGUACCUCUUGAAUAAGCACCGGCUAACUCCGUGCCAGCCGCCGCGGU